GCACGCUGCUCACUCUGUUUCUCCACCCACGAAUCGGGAAGCUUGCAGUGAGCUUCUGGGUGGCAAGCCUGUCUAAGCAGACUGAAGAUGGAACAGGGCCAAGAACGAACGAGUGAAGGAACGAGUGGAGACCUGUUGAGAUCACCUAAACACCUGCAUCCCCACCCCUUAAGCCCACAGUACAGUCACCAGAACACGUGUGGAAUCAACAGUAUUUGCCUCUUUGUGAUUGUAUCAUUUCACUGAGCAGAAUGUCUGAGAGACCCAUUCACGGAGGAGCAUUUUCCUUCCUUUUGAAUUUUUUCCUAUACAUGAACGAACAUACUGUAUUUCUCUACUGAUCUCUUGAUGGACACUUGGUUUUCCUUUGUCUUUCUCUUGGCUCCCAUGAGUAACACAGCAGUGAACGGCGUCAUUGGCUGUCCCUCUGUUUUUGAAGGAAUUUUGGAGGAAUAAUUAUUAAUAUCCUUUACUCACUUUGGAAGAGCACUGGUGUUUUGUGGAGCUGGGUGUUUUUGUGGAGCUAUAUGAAGAACCCUAUUAUUGAUAUUAACUUCCGUAUGAGAUGCUUGAUGCACAAACACCUUGUAUUCUGUGGGUUUCCUG